rnacentral:rRNA from 1 species
UACAGAGGUCUCAAGCGUUUGUUCGGAUUCAUUGGGCGUAAAGGGUGCGUAGGUGGCGGGGUAAGUCAGGUGUGAAAUUUCGGAGCUUAACUCCGAAACUGCAUUUGAUACUGCCUUGCUUGAGGACUGGAGAGGAGACUGGAAUUUACGGUGUAGCAGUGAAAUGCGUAGAUAUCGUAAGGAAGACCAGUGGCGAAGGCGAAUCUCUGGACAGUUACUGACACUGAGCACGAAGGCCAGGGGAGCAAACGGG